GGCAGCUGCUCCCUAACCUCCAUCAACACUUGAGUUUUCGAUGCAUUGAGAGGGGCGUAACUGUGGAAUCUUCUGGGGGGAGAGCUCCACCGAACUCUGUGGUCUGGGCUUUUCUGCUUAUGAGCUCGGGGAGGAGUUCGAACAUGCUUAUGUCCGAGAGGAGUUCGAGAACGUGGUCGAGCUUCACUCGACCCUUUUUCAACUGCGAGCUUGCUUGAGUCUCCCGCCUGCCGCUCCUUCGUGGUCUUCUCGUCCUUCAUCUUGAAGGCUUCUUCUGUUCGGGUAUAUCCUUCGGCCCAAGCUAGCA
rnacentral:lncRNA from 1 species